CGGAGGGAGGUCUGCGGGCAAGGAGAGGUUGCUAUCCACUCAUCCCCUAGGUUGGAUCCCUAGGCUCUCCU
rnacentral:tRNA from 1 species